ACUUAAUUUUUCUAUGCUCUGCAUGGGCAAGGUCCCCGCGCGAAUGAAUGCAUGUGGUCUGUUCUGAAAUGUUUAUUACAAGUCUCAUUUGCGCCAUUCAAUAAGGUAAAGAGUGGUAACCCUCCUUCUGGCUUUCACUAUUUACCCCUUCUAUCCUUUCACCCCCACCCUACCCCUGCACCCGUCCACCCUCCUUGCCUUCUGAAUUAAUUUGAUACUAUUUUUGAAAGUCAGUGUUUCUAAGGGAUACCUAAUGACGCAGUGACGUCAAUGCAGGUCAAUAGCACACUGGUUGAGAGGAGCGUGCUGCCAGCUGCGCAUGCAGGCUAUGGCAGAGUGCUGGAGAACUUCCCCCAAAAGCUAUUGUGUGUACGUGAAAAAAACAGCGUCUUUCACGUUUAAUAAACACACAGUCUUCUUCAAUGCGCUCAAAUCCUCAGAACGUUUCAAAAUACUUCGUGAAACAACUAAAUUCCAACUUCUCACUGGAAGUCUGCCAAGGAAUGGUGCUAUAAAGCGAGAUAGGAUCUGUAGAGUGCGAUAUCCUCACACUUUUUUGUACUUCUCCCCUCGAUCUAGGAGGAGCAGAGAGGUCGGGACGCAUCCAGUCCAAUCCCAUGACCAAUGGCAGGACUAUCGUCUUUUCUUUUAUAACCCGCGUGGUUCCAGUACGUAACACGAUGUUCUCGCCUUCCAUUCCAGUCUCGCCACCAGAGUGCCAACACAAAACACUUCGCGACAAACAGAAAACUGAACCAACACGGUAUGUGACCCAUUUUCUUCGUCCUGACACAAAAGGAGCGGUUUGAUGCUUUUUUGUCUAUCUUGCUCUUUUUCAGUUUCUUGAACCAAGUCGAACGAGUUACCAAUAACGUAAGUAUAUGCUUUAUCUGCUUACAGGCAAUAACAAGUUACGAGAUUGGUUGAUUUGCAGAUGUUGCGGACUAUAGUUCAUUCAUACAGAACAGUUCACCACAUAGACGAAGCUGUGGCUCAGUACAACGCUUUCGUCAAUGAACACCUGUGGUGAAUGUUUGGCAACAGUAUUGUUAUAGAAUAUAAUUUUUUGACAAGGUUGUGACCCGAUAUGGUGCAGACGUUUGUAAACAUAUGUAAACAUUUGUUCUGUUUACAUUAAGACUCAAGCUUCCAAUUAACAGUCAGUGCACAUGCAUACACGCGCAUUGGAUGAGUGGACCAAUUCCUGAAUGCGCUAAUGCAUAGGCGUAUUCACGUGCCGGGGUUCCUCAGGUUCCCCUGCCAUUCCGCUAAAAUGCCUGGUAACAGCCUGCCACUAGGAGCUGUCAGACUAAACGGUCUAUACGCUAAUGGCAGGUCUCCACACCACAUUCACCUGAAAAAUCUGACUUUGAUUUACGACAAGAGGCACUUUUAUUACAACAACGGAAAUACCCGCGUGGGAAUUUGUUGAAAAACUAUACAUGCAAUCUGAAAGAUUAUUGUUAGCAUUUAGGGGGGAAAAAACUCUUGUUUGAGACUGUUCCAAGUUAACAAGUCAUCUUGGUAGAGUGCAGAAAUUGGGAUAUUAAAGACAAAAAGUUUGACAGAAGUCCCAUCAGAAGUAAAUAUUAAUGGUUGCACGCAUUAUUUGCAGGCGUUGUCAGAUUGUACCUGAUGAACCUAUCCAUGUGCCCUAGCAGUGCAGCUACUGGUCAGGACCAUGGAGAGCGCCGCGUCCAGAUUCCUCUCAGUUCUAUUGCAAUGGAGCACUGGGAUUAAAAGAGUAUAGGAGCAACGUCCCAAAAUCACCAAGGCAGGUAGAUGUUACCCACAACAAUGUUGCAUACCUUGUUCUGAACAUCACAUGUUUUCUUAAAUGUACACAAUAUCAUUUUUACCGACCUCGACUUCUUAAUUUAAAGUUGCAGCAUGUCCGCAGCAUAUCUAUCUUGUUCGCGUCCCGUCAGUACACGCACGGACACAGAGGGGGUUUACAGAGCGUAAUCAAUGGAAUAACUUUCUACAUAGCAUGAAGUCUUUGUUCCAACUUUUCAAAUCAACGCGUGGGUGUUUAAUAUCACAGGAGCGAAGACGUGGGACUAGCAGGGACAUUUCCAAGAUGGUAACAUCUACGAAGACGUAUAAGAUGUAUCUCAUUAUGCCGUCACUUACAGUCCCUGCAAAUAAUUCAGAACCACUGGUUUUAGGGUUCAUAUAACCUAUAGGGUUCCAUUGACUCGAAACACUUUACUUGUGCAUCAUUGUGUCACAGAACUGGGUCAACUUCGUGAAUGGCAAUAUGCUUAUGAAAUACAAUUUAGCCAAAGUCAAGUUUUUAUGAUAACUAUUUCAUACUGCAUAUCGAUAGUCUGAUAGUCAUCAGUACAUUUUACUUUAUUUGGCAGUUUUCUUGUUUCCUGCUCUUCAUUUGUAAAAAUGGAUGGCACAAAUGCAAAACAAGUUGCCAAACUAUAGGCGGACAUAGCUAAGGCCGUGUACUUACCGUGUUUGCCUGUGUCGGUGGUGGUAGUGAUAAUGGGAGGUGUUUUAGUAGAGUUGCCUCAAACUGUAGAUCGUCAGGUCAAGUUUUGCGUGACUGCAUGAUGUUGCCUACUAAGAUGUUUAUAUGGUGUGUGAAGUUGGCAACCCGUCCGUGGAGAUGUGUACACACUUGCAGGUCUUCUAACCACCUAAGUGCACCUACUUUUGCAUGUUCAAUAUGAACACAGACUACCUUUGCUAUGGGUAGAUACUUUAUAUGAUUCAGUGUUUGGAUGAGGCUUAUUGUUGAACUGUAUGGUGAUAAGUUAGACUACUUUUGAGAGGCAGUGGAUAGGUAAAAAAUAAUGCUCGAGCUGACAUUUCCAUUAAUGCCAGAGAAGGAACCUUUGAAACUUAGAAACCAGUUCUUAACAGCACGCAGUAUGCGUUCCAAAGACAGACCCACUCAUUGAGCUACUGCUGCUACUUAACUGGUUGGAAGAUCUGCCACUGCAUCAGAUACAACGCUUAUGAAGCAUAAGAGGCACGAUAUGCCAUGCGUAUGUAAGCAUGGGCACCAGAACACCAUGUCAAUAUUUAAUUAGUGUUUAGGUAUGUUUUGGAGGACAGGGGGCGUGAGGGAGUUGUGAGAACAAUAAUGGGAGACGUGGAGAAUAAAGUCAGAGAUGCGUUCUUUUGUGUUUAUAUUACGCGCAAUUAUAACCACAAAUAUCAUAAUUACUAUAGACACAAUACAUGGGUAUGUAAGUACUACUUCAGUGGAGCACAAGAACAACCACAAACAGGUUACCUAUAGUUAUAACAGUGUAGGCUAACAUCUAGCCAGACUUAAGGAACUUGUCGUGCGCUUUCGAGAUUUUAACAAUUCACUCUGUUUAUAGAAUCUGGACACCACCAAUGCAUUUUCGACCAAAGAAAUACGACUCGAAGGUUAAGCAGCCCCAAGGGGUCAGGGAAGAGACGAAUCUAUGUAUAUUUUCUAGUGGGGAAAAUCUGCAGUGCCAGCCACAGAGGAGCUGUGCUUAUGCGAUAAAAAUAGCAUCGAGCGAUGCGACGGGCACUGCCCUUUUUCUCUGAGCUGACUUUUCGAGGUAACCGUUUCUCGUUGUACAGACAGCUCGAUUCCUAAAUGAAAUACCGUGAUCAUGUCUCGCGUGACAUCCACUGGAUGCCGGGAGAACGCAAAAGUCGAGGAGAGUCCGUGACCAAAUCCAGAUGAGACUGAGGUUAGAUAAAGGGAUGAUGGAAAGCGUGGUAUUCAUAGAAUGGUUAAACUCACCGUGUAGCUGUGCUCUGAACUGACAGCUCACGGCGAGUCGAUUCCGUGGGCGAACGAGUCUGGCGCGUGGGCACGAGCUGCUAGCAGAAAAGGCAGCUCACGUUGAGAUCUUCCAUGCACUAUUAUUGUCACCUGCUAGAACAGAGCCUUUGUCUGACACAAUACGUGCAAAGGGGAGCUAAGCACAAACAGGAGAUGCUUUCAAGGGUGCCAGUAGCCAAGCCUAACAUUUCUGACACAAAGACUUCGAUAUAAUGUAGCAACACACCACAUUUUAUACCCCAACUUCCCACAUCUCACCUACAAUUGUUUUAUGGUUUCAGGCAAAUGUCAUUAGAACUAAACAGAGAGCGGCUUUUGUAUGGAGCUAUAGGCUGGAAAGUGGGAGAACCUAAACGUGACGUCAAUGCCCAGUAACUGACGCAGCCCUGAAACGAAAAUAAAAUCUAUUUUUCUAGUCAGCAAGCUUUAAUUGUUGCAGUUUUAAGGUGCACAGUGGGAUAAAUAAAAAGGACAAACAGUACAACUGUAACAUUUGAAUAGAUCGUGUAAGCAUUGAGUGUUCUGUGUAUCUUAAGAUACAAACAACAUAUCAGCCCAGGGUUUUCCGGCGAAAGUUCUGCGAGGACAAGAGGACUGUACAAAAAAGGAUUAGCCAUAUGCGGUUGAAGACAUGCAAAACGAACCUGAAAUAACUUAAAUACCAACAGUGUGCGCUCAGGUAGACAUGUAGGUAGUGUUUUGUGUUAAAACAAGGGGGUGGUAAUCGGAGGCUGAUUGUUAAAAAAAACACUGCAAUGAUGCAAUGGAGGGGAAUCGGAGCUCUUGUGCAGAGUUGGAGAGGCAAAAUUAAUGUACAUUACAUUCACUCCACGUAACGUUCCUGAGCGAUGCCUUUGUGAGUGUUUUUUUCCUUCUCGUGAACUAAAAAUAGCAUCCGGGUUUGAUCGCGCUCCAGAAAUAGACAGAGGGUAUCACUUGUAUAAAAAGGAACGUGAUUCUCAGGAAAACUUGGACUCGCUGCCGAGGAUGGGUUCCCUUUCUUGGUCUGAGAACAGCGUAUCUAUCUGGAGAAGGACUAGGAGCUGUCCGUAAAAACGGGUGUGCAACGGUUUCGCAUGUUCAGAAAGGUUCAGUGUCCAUGGGUGGGUAGCAGUGUAUCUCCACCCUGCCUCCCGUCCGUGUGUCCUUCCGCUGAGUUGUGAUGAGUCAGCGGAGGUGUGAGGUGUGACUCAGCAUCGGCGCUCCUCCCAUACCCAGUGGAAGAAGCAGAGAGGGAGGGGUGAGCAGGAGAGAACCAAGGAGUCAGGCUCUAAAUAGGGAGGCACAACAGCUGCUGUUCGGGCACCAGGUAUCAUCCAAAACAUCUUCUGACACACCUGGGGUGGGGCAAAGAGAGGGAGAUGGGAGGAGGAUUCAGGAAAAAUGUGUGGCCUCUGUUAUGUAAAUCUUCUUGGAGUUUCAGAUGACUAUGUAGAUUGGUGUUUUCAGUCAAGCUGUAGUGUUGGCUCUAGACCCACAGAUGGGAAUCCUAAAACCCUUAAAUUAUCCAAAGGUGUGUGUAUAUCACAGAUUACUUGAAUUCAUUCUGUCUCAUUUUGAAAGAUAGAAACUAGCUCGAGCUGGAGUGCUAUUUUAAAUGUCUCACAUAGAUCAGACAAGGCUGUAAAUUGUGUUUGAAAUCCAGAAUGAACUGAUUUAAACCAAUGGUAUAUGUGUAAGUGCAUGACAGCAAAUACAUGAAUGCCCCAGGAGGAAUUCUUGCAUGUGAUGGUGGUAUGAACAUUACAAUUGUAAGAAUAUGUAGACUUUGUAAAGAAGUCUGUGAAGCAUUUUUCGUAUCACUGGCUGCUUUCUUAUGAUUAUGGUUAUGGCUGGAUGGAUUUUAGAGGAGCCAAAAGAGGGUAGAUAUUACGAGUUUAGCAUGUGUCUGUGUUUGUUUGUGUGUGUGUGUGUAUGUGUGUGUGUGUGUGUGUGUUUGUGUGUGUGUGUGUCUGUAUUCGGGGGUCAAGCAAGACCUGAGCAAACGCCAGUAGAUGUAAGUGUGUGUAAAUGUUAUAUAAGUGUAAAUCCAACCUUUUCUUAAGGUUAAAACAAGUGAUGGUCAUUUGCAGAUAACUUGUCUUCAGAGUAUGUAUAUUAUAGGCUUGUGUGAAAGUAUUGCACAGUACAAAUACAGUGUCUCUUUGCAGUUCUGCUCUGAGGAGACUCUGUGGAUAGCGUCUCUACAUAGACAGUAUGUUUACAUUGUGAGUGCCUUUGUGUCAUUUUGCAGUGGAUUAGAAAGCAGAGUCUCGAUACAUGGGCUAACAGUGUGAUAAAAUAAAGUGGAUUACUGUAUGUGUGUGUGUUUGUGUGUGUGUGUGUGUGUGUCUGCCUGUCUGGUGAUGGUGGAGGAAGAGAGGCCACCAUGUUAUGGGUGUUCACUAUGAACUGUUAAGCGCUGGUGUGUGUCUUUCAGUGUGUCAAAUAUGGACCUAUUUGUAGCGAUGCUACAUCACGGGAUGGAAAGCCCUUUGGUGACAUGUUACUGACUUUUAGAUUUUGAAUUAAUUUUGUGUGUAUUAGAAUGCCGAUGCAUAUAUUUUGUGAGAAUAAAUAAAAUGUGAUUUGUAUGUUCUACAUGCAUCACGUUCUUGUUGCAGUAUUUGGAGAAUGUCUGUGAUGAAAGAUAUUUUUUUUUUAUCAGUGAAUUUUAUGAGUACCACAUUUAUUUUAAUAUCAUAGAGAUUAUGAGAAUGAGAAAGCAGGGACGUUGACACAGUUCAGGUGAAAAGAUGCUUGAAAUAAACAUUGCUCAUGAGGAAAAAAAUAUAGCUUUUUAGGCCCAGUUAAACAGUUGAUCUGAGUUUAUUCUCGUAUAAUUCGUAAUUUUUUUUUAAAAGGGGAGAAAAAAAUUGCAUCUCUGAAUUUGGAAUAUUUUUUACCACAUCCUUGACUUCAGGUAAAUUGAGAAACUAGAUGCAUAUAAAUAUUAUAUAUCACCAAAUAAAGAAAGAUAUACC
ensembl:lncRNA